GUUUGGGGGAUAUCUUGGCUUGGGAACUGACGAAGGGCGUGACAAGCUGCGAUAAGCCCCGGGUAGUCGCAAGUAGAUGUUGAUCCGGGGAUUCCCGAAUGAGACGUCUUGUGAUAAUGGAAGUUAUCACACUCCGUAAGGAGGGGGAACGCGCUGAACCAAAGCAUUCUAAUAAGCGCAGGAAGAGAAAACAAACGUGAUUCCGUAAAUAGCGGCGAGCGAAAGCGGAAUAAGCCAAACCGAAUCCUCAGUGGAAAACGCUAAGGAGAUGUGGUGUAUUGGACUCGGGUCGGGCCUCGUUGGGGAAGCUGAAUGUUUCUGGAAAGCUAAGCCAUAGAGCGUGAUAGCCGCGUAAGUGUAACCCAAAAGGCGCAUGCCGAGUAUCCGGAGUAACACGACUUGGUAUUGCCGUGUGAAGAUAGCAGUGUCUAUCCUGCUAAGCUUAAAUAUAUCCCAAGUCCGAUAGCGCACUAGUACCGUGAGGGAAUGAUGAAAAGUAUCCUGGAAAGGACGUGAAAAGUGCUUGAAACCAGACAGUGAGUGAAGGAAGCGGAGGGAAAGGAUAGAUUCUGAACGAAGUUAACACUGGUAACGGUGUAGACGAGAUCAGAGGACCACCUUCGCUUCAUCCGUCUUGAACCACGGGCCAGGGAGUUUGCAUGCGUGGCGAGUUGGCUAAGGAGCGAAACUCUGUACCCCUAGGGAAACCGAGAUCUUCGCAGCCAUUUCAUCACAUUGAGUGAAAGUGUAGCUACGGCGAACACUGGAUCUCUCUAAGGGAUAUGGUGAGGAAGACGCGUCUGAAAGGGCGCACAGUCACACAUGUAAUGCCUGAAACCCCGUGAUCUAUGCCUGGCCAGGGUGAAGCCAUUCGAAAGGAUGGUGGAGGCCCGAUAGGAUUCUGACGUGCAAUUCGUCCCGUUGAGCUGGGUAUAGGAGUAAAAGACUAAUCUACCGGGGAGAUCGCUGGUUCUCUCUGAAGUUGCUCUGAGGCAAGCCCCGAGUGAGGCAGGUGGUGGUGUAGAGCACUAAUUGGCUUGGUAUGGACGGGAAACCGUUCGCCGGCUUCUUAAACUCCGAAGCUGCUGCCGCCAUAGACCUCGGGAGACGGUUUGGUACGGGUAAGCCGUAUCGUCGAGAGGGGAACAACCCAGAUUGAGGUUAAGGUCCCUAAGUGCCGGCUAAGUGUUAAACUAAAUGGUGUCAUUCCUCGAAGACAGUGAAAAGGUAAGCCUAGAAGCCGCUA
rnacentral:rRNA from 1 species